rnacentral:rRNA from 1 species
AUGCACAUAGAAAAAAAUGUAUGUGAGAACAUAAUCAACACAUUGUUGUGCAUUGAUGGGAAAUCUAAGGAUAAUCUGAACUCUCGCUUGGACCUUCAAGCUCUAAACAUUAGAAGUGACCUUCAUCCUGUUGAACAUGAAGUAGAAGAUAAAUUUUACUUACCUCCAGCACCUUAUGAAAUGAAUGUUGGCCAACUGAGGUUAUUUUGUGGAGUAUUUAAAGGAGCUAGGUUCCCUUACGGGUUAGCAGCUGAUAUACGUGGUAAUGUGCAUGUCAAGGAAAGAAAAAUAAUUGGGCUAAAGAGCCAUGACAACCACAUCUUGAUGCAACAUUUGCUACCACUUGCUGUGAGAAGGCUAUUGCCCAAAAAAGUUAGUGCAACACUGAUUCGUGCUAGCAAUUUUUUCAAGCAGAUUUACUCACAUGUUAUUUCUGUUAGUGAUAUGGAAAAACUAGAGGCUGAAAUAGCUGAGACCUUGAGCAUUCUUGAGACUAUAUUCCCCCAUCCUUUUUUGAUAUCAUGGUACACUUGA